GGCACGGCGCGGGCACACACCCCGCGCUCCCCGCGCACACGCGCACGUGCCCCGCGCCCCACGCGCACAGGCGCCACGCGGGCAGAGCCCCCGCGGGGCGCCGCAGCCCUAGCCAGCCUUUCUGACGCUUUUGUGGUCUCAGAAACCCUCCUCCUUCGCUGUCCUGCUUUCCAGAGCCUCACGUGCUCAGCCCCCACACUCGCAGAGGCACAUCAUUUGCCAUACAGAUGUGCAGGGGGUACCCACGACGUGCCAGACGCGGCGGACACAACUGCACCGUAUUCGUACACAUUUGUUCAGCCUAUCUACAGUGAGCGCUCAGUGCGUGCCAGACACAAGAUCUUUGGAUACAGAGACUGCUAUGACACACCUCCUCCCCCACAGCUGGCUUCCAGAAUCCAGAAGAGCUGGGAAAAGCAUCCUUGAUUUGGUAUUUCUAACAUCCAGAGCUACAAGAAAAUAACUUCUGAUGCUCGAAGCCACCUGGCUCUGCUCACUUCUCCUAGCACCCCUGGGAAACUGAAAGGAAGAGUGGGGCUGGGGGGGACGUUACAAUUCAGCUGCCUCUGUCUGGAACUCAAGCCCAACUGCUCAGCGACUGAAACAGAUCACAUGACAGUUCACCUUGCUAAGAACAGCAGUGCCAUUGUAGUUGCUGCUAAGACCAGAAAUCUGGUGAGCAGUGCUAGAUUCUGCAGGAAAGGGGCCACUGGUGUCUUGAACCCCUUAAUGAGUUCGAUGUACUUUGGCCAACCUUAGUAACUCUUACUACAAAGGAUAACAUGCGUCUGUAUUUUUUUUUCUCUAGUCCUUCAAGUGAUACAUGGUGAAAGAGUACAAAUGCGCAAGCUGAGAGUGUUUUGUUUCAAGUAGUAGACAAUCGUUCAGUCACUCAUUCAGCAGGUGCUUACUAAGCUCCGUACCAAGCACUGAACAAAGCACUAGGUGGUUCAGUACAUAUUUGCUGAUCAAAUCGCUAGGAAUGUGGAGAAGAGCGUGAAGGAGGACUGAGAGUAGUCAUAAUCCCUGAGGGAGAGCAGGGAGGAGACCUUGUGGGCAGAGAAGAGAAAGAGGGGCAGGAACUAUAGUGAGCAAGAAGAAAGGAGGAAUCUCACUGUGGGAACUGGUUCACGGGAGGAUGCUGGUGUUUACAUGGGUGUGGGCAAAAGCGGGCAGGGUGAGGGGAGCAGCCAUGCUAAAAAGAGAAAUGGCCAAUCAGUGGCUUCUUGUUGGACUUUAAAAUUUUUUUUCAUUUCAUAUAAUGUAGCCACAAUGACUAGGAUUUAGUAGAAACUUGGAAAACUGUGACCUAUUGCCUGUUUUUGUUGUGUUCUAUCUAUCUAUCUAUCUAUCUAUCUAUCUAUCUAUCUAUCUAUCUAUCUAUCUAUCUAUCUAUCUAUUAUUUAGUUUUUGUGUUCUACCCAGCUAUGCCAGUUUCUAUAUUGCCAGUGGCUGCUUUUUACUGAGUACUUGUGAGACCACAUGACUGGAAAAGCCAAAAAAUAUUUUCUGCUAGUGUAGAGAAAGCUUGCUGAUUCCUACUGUGUGUGUGUGUGUGUGUGUGUGUGUGUGUGUGUGUGUGUGCGCGCGCGCGCGCGCGCGCGCGCGCAUAUGUGCGUCUUUGCAUGUGGAGGCCAGAAGACAGCCUCAGUUGUCAUUCUUCAGGAGUCUUCCACCUUUUCUGAGGCAGGCUCUUUCACUGGGCUUGGGACUCACCCAGUAAGCUUGGCUGGCUGGCCAGCGAGCCCCAGAGAUCUGCCUGUCUCUGCCUGAGGUGAUAGGUACAUACCAUCACCGGUCCAACUUAUUUUGCAUGGGUUCUUGUGAGCAAACAUCAUGGGCGAUGUGUGUAACACCACCCAUCAGUCUGGCUCGUUUUACAUGGGUCCUACUGAGCAAACUUAGUUUAUUGUGCUUAUGACUGAGCUAUUUUCCAGCUCUAUUGUGUCUAGAUUCAUGGUUUUUUUUAUUUUUAUUUUUAAAAAGAGCCUAGAGUCUCUGUACUGUUUCAUAUUGCAAUUUUACAAAAUCUUAUUGAUCUUGCCACUAUUGCCUUUGCCUGAACUUCCUGUGGGAUAUGCUGUGAAGACCAACUCACCAGUAUAAUGCACAUUCUUUUGGACUUUUGGAUAUUGCCUAAAGUUCUGGCUUAUUGGUUGAUAACUUGUAUCUUAACCUUACUAUAACUGAUUUCAAUGAUCUGGCCCACAGAAGGUGUUUGAUCAAUAGUGAUGAGGCUUGAAAAGAAAGAUCAAGAAACAUAUGCCUAGCUCUCCAUCUCGAACUGAAAGUGUCAGGCGUUUUCUCCACCACAGAAGAGGAGAACGUUCCAGACUCUUCCACACAUGGCUCUGUUGUAAAGAGCGAUUCUGGCUUCGUUGAAACCUUACUUUGCAUGUGUCUUUUUCUUAUGACUUAUUAUGGUAGCAUAAUAGGUGGGCCUGGUAAUUUCAUCACUGGGUUUUAUUUGUCUUUGUGUAAAUGACUUUUCAUUUAGAUUUGUUCCGGAAAAAAAAAAGUCGAAUAAAAUAGAAUGGAUAUUCUCCUUUCUGCGUUGCCUUCAUCUUUUAUUGAGUGGGAGAGGUACAAUGAAGGAGAAGAUAUGAAUUAGAAAGAAGAGCUGGGAGAUGACUCUGCAGCAAAAGCCCUUGCUCUGCAAGUGUGAGGACAGAAACCCACAUAAAUGCUAGAUUUUGAAGGACCAAACUUGGAUGAACUGAAUUCCUCAGGAAUUUUUCCAGUGUGCUUGACAACAAACAACCACAUAGCUGCAGUUGCCAAUGGCAACCAACCCUUGCUGUCAGGAAGCACUGGGCUUCAGCCAUCUGGAGGAAGGAGGAGCGGAGACAUGUGGCGGGCCAGGUGCUCCACGGAGCCCAUUACUGAAAGUCUGACUUUCCUAUGUACAUUGUCCCGUUGUUUGUGCCACCCCCAGAUGGGCUCUUUUGGUCACCUGAGAGUCAGAAACAGCUUUACCUAAGGCAAUGCCAAUCUGUUCAGGAAGUGAUGCUGUCAUAAUGAUUGUGGGAUAGCUAAUAUUUGCUCAUCCCUGUCUGUCGGGUUGUGUGCCAAGCCUCCAGCUAUGUCCUUACCACUCUCAACAGUUCUACACACUGGGGGUGGGAUAUGGAUAUCUCUGUUUUCAGACGAGGAAACCUAUGUACAUGUGUGUCUCAAGACUACAUAUACAUAUGCACACACAUACCACCAACACAUAUCCGCAUACACACACACACCCCAAAACAGGUCAGAGGAGGUCCUAGGAUUUAGACAUAGGUAGGCAGUUUGGGUUUAAAGCUAGAUUUGUACCUCAUCAUUAAACCUAUUAAAUUGUAUUUUAUAGUA